CGGCGGACGGCUGAGUAACGCGUGGGAACGUGCCCCAAAGUGAGGGAUAAGCACCGGAAACGGUGUCUAAUACCGCAUAUGAUCUUCGGAUUAAAGCUUUAUGCGCUUUGGGAGCGGCCUGCGUCCUAUUAGAUAGUUGGUGAGGUAAAGGCUCACCAAGUCAACGAUGGGUAGCUGGUCUGAGAGGAUGACCAGCCAGACUGGAACUGAGACACGGUCCAGACUCCUACGGGAGGCAGCAGUAAGGAAUCUUCCACAAUGGGCGAAAGCCUGAUGGAGCAACGCCGCGUGCAGGAUGAAGGCCUUCGGGUCGUAAACUGCUUUUAUGAGUGAAGAAUAUGACGGUAACUCAUGAAUAAGGGUCGGCUAACUACGUGCCAGCAGCCGCGGUCAUACGUAGGACCCAAGCGUUAUCCGGAGUGACUGGGCGUAAAGAGUUGCGUAGGUGGCUUGUAAAGUGAAUAGUGAAAUCUGGGGGCUCAACCUCACAGACUGUUAUUCAAAC
rnacentral:rRNA from 1 species